UGAGGUUCCACCGUCAGCGACACUGUGUCCUCAGAAACUGUUCAGUGCAGGUACGGAGUUGUAAGUCCGAGAUGUUAGAGUCUGUCUCGUUGGGGUUUCGGCUCCACUGUGGGAAUCGGCCUCUCCUCUUCCUGCCCACGGAACAGUGAGUGUCUGUCAGCGCCUCACAGCAUCGGCCGGCUCUCUGCCUCAGGAAAUCCUGCACCUCUGAGAUGAACCGGACCCAAGUACCCAGGAGACAACACACCAUUGUGUCAUCUCUGUUGCUGCCACAGAAUCUCCUGCACAUCCCCGUACUAUUAUAGACUCCAGUAGCUGAAGUGAAGUUAACUGGACUACAGUCACCUGGUUUUUAUCUUCCACCCUUCUUCAACAAUGGUUUUCAACUCCACUGGGACCUUUCUGUAACAGUGAGUUUUGACAGAUAUCAAUGUCUCUACUUUCUCUCCAGACUUCCUGUGAAACCCACCUGUGCAGGUCAUUGGGACCUGAAAAUGUUUGAUUUUAGUCUCAUUAGUCUCUUCAUCCUGAUGGUGAUUGUUACAUAUUAUUGCACAAUGUUGAAAUGUCACCGUUAGAUAUCUGUGGGAUGUUUGCUGUGUCCCCACUGUGAACACUAAUGCAAAUUAUUGAGUUAACCUAUCUGCUUUUUCCUUAUUAGUUUUAGCUUUUGUCUCAUCACUGGUUCCUGGAAAAAGCCUGAUCCUCUUUUCUAUCGCCAACCCUUGCCUUUUUAUAUGCUCUUUGAUUUAAUAUUUCCCUUGAACUUCAUUGACCACAGAAGGUUCUUUGCUCUCUGUGAUCCCUCUGCUAAUUGGUAUGAACGUCCGCUGAAUGUUAUGAACAGUCUCCUUAAACAUCGUCACUGCUCAUUACUGACCUGUCCCUGCACCUAUUUACCCCAUCUACCCCAGACAACUCCACUUUCUGAUCACUGUAAUUACCUUUAUUUAGAUUGAGGACACUGGUUCUGGACCCUUGUGUUCACCCUCAAUCUGGCUCUAUUGAGAAAUAUACCUGACAUAACCACACAUAACCACUAUAUACCUGAAACAUAACCACUAUAUAUAUACCUAAAAUAUAAUCACUAUGUAUUAGCUAUUUACUAUACUAUGUAAUCACUUCUAGGUACCGAAUAUUAAUAUGUAUUAUUUUCUAGACACAUUUUGUUAUGUGUUGUUUUCACUAGAUACUGUGUACUCUUUUAGCUGCAUAUUAUGGAACUUACAGAACGCCUGUUGUUUUGCAGCACUCUUAGCUGAGAUGUAUCCCAUGUAUUACACUCAGCCUUUGUUUAGUACGAGAUAACGGUGGCGGGCAGGAUGCUGCGAGCAGGAAUGUAAUGUGAGGGGGGGGAUGUCUGGAGUACAUGAUCUUGGCAAAGAAUCAGGUCCCAAUGCGAACGGGUGGAACAUAAUGGUGGCGCACCGCGGGCUAGACAAAAGCGAUUCAUUAAUUCACAAAUAGAUGAGAUGCAAUUAAUACUUGAUUGGAUAUGGUGAUGAACCCGAAAUGUAACUGAGAUAAGAAAUUACUAUAAAGAAUGCUGUACACCGGAGCUCAGCGGGCUUUCAGUGACAAAUUCAUUGACAGCCUUUGUUUGCAAAUAAAGGUUUAAUUUU